rnacentral:rRNA from 1 species
GAUGAAACGCCUAGCUACAGGCUUAACACACGCAAGUCGAGGGGCAGCAUGAAAUAUCGGCUUCGCCAAUAUUUGACGGCGACCGGCGCACGGGUGAGUAACACGUAUCCAACCUUUCGGUUACUCGGGGAUAGGCUUUCGAAAGAAAGAAUUAAUACCCGAUGUUGUGUAUCUUUCUCCUGAAAGAUACGCCAAAGGAUUCCGGUAACCGAUGGGGAUGCGUUCCAUUAGGCAGUUGGCGGGGUAACGGCCCACCAAACCUUCGAUGGAUAGGGGUUCUGAGAGGAAGGUCCCCCACAUUGGAACUGAGACACGGUCCAAACUCCUACGGGAGGCAGCAGUGAGGAAUAUUGGUCAAUGGACGGAAGUCUGAACCAGCCAAGUAGCGUGAAGGAUGACUGCCCUCUGGGUUGUAAACUUCUUUUAUACGGGAAUAACAUGAGGUACGCGUACCUUAUUGCAUGUACCGUUAUGAAUAAGCAUCGGCUAACUCCGUGCCAGCAGCCGCGGUAAUACGGAGGAUGCGAGCGUUAUCCGGAUUUAUUGGGUUUAAAGGGAGCGUAGGUGGGAUAUUAAGUCAGCUGUGAAAGUUUGGGGCUCAACCUUAAAAUUGCAGUUGAUACUGGUUUCCUUGAGUACGGUACAGGUGGGCGGAAUUCGUGGUGUAGCGGUGAAAUGCUUAGAUAUCACGAAGAACUCCGAUCGCGAAGGCAGCUCACCGGGCCGGAACUGACACUGAUGCUCGAAAGUGCGGGUAUCAAACAGGAUUAGAUACCCUGGUAGUCCGCACAGUAAACGAUGAAUACUCGCUGUUUGCGAUACACUGUAAGCGGCCAAGCGAAAGCGUUAAGUAUUCCACCUGGGGAGUACGCCGGCAACGGUGAAACUCAAAGGAAUUGACGGGGGCCCGCACAAGCGGAGGAACGUGUGGUUUAAUUCGAUGAUACGCGAGGAACCUUACCCGGGCUUAAAUUGCGCUGGCUUUUACCGGAAACGGUAUUUUCUUCGGACCAGCGUGAAGGUGCUGCAUGGUUGUCGUCAGCUCGUGCCGUGAGGUGUCGGCUUAAGUGCCAUAACGAGCGCAACCCUUAUCUUUAGUUACUAACAGUUUUGCUGAGGACUCUAAAGAGACUGCCGUCGUAAGAUGCGAGGAAGGUGGGGAUGACGUCAAAUCAGCACGGCCCUUACGUCCGGGGCUAUACACGUGUUACAAUGGGGAGCACAGCAGGUUGCUACACGGCGACGUGAUGCCAAUCCGUAAAACUCCUCUCAGUUCGGAUCGAAGUCUGCAACCCGACUUCGUGAAGCUGGAUUCGCUAGUAAUCGCGCAUCAGCCACGGCGCGGUGAAUACGUUCCCGGGCCU